AACGAACGCUGGCGGCGCGUCUUAAACAUGCAAGUCGAACGGCAGGCCACUAUGCCGUUACCGGCACGCUGGUCAGUUACACGAGGGGAACGUACCCCGACGUCCGCGACAGCUUGUUGGAGUAGAGCGUAAUACAGGUUAGAUUACUGCUUACGUCAGGUUGCCGGCGGAAACAGAGCUUCUGCUCCGCGACCGGAUCGGUCUGCGUCGAAUCAGCUUGACGGCGGGGUAAAGGCCCGCCCCGGCGAGGGCGGGUAUCCGGACUGAGAGGGUGGGCAGACACACUGGAACUGAGACACGGCCCAGACUCCUACGGGAGGCAGCAGUGAAGAAUAUUCGGCAAUGGGGGGAACCCUGACCGAGCGACGCCGCGUGGACGAAGAGGGCCGUAAGGUUGUAAAGUUCUUUUCUGGGGGAAGAAAAAGUGCCGGAUGAAAUGCCGCGGCUGUGACGGUAGCGCAGGAAUAAGCACCGGCUAAUUACGUG
rnacentral:rRNA from 1 species